CUGCUGCGUCUGUGUGGAUGAUGGGUGAAGAGGUGGAGAGAGGGGGGAUAAACAUGGAGAUACCAUUCCAGUCUUUCAAAAACUUCCCCCACAUAGCUAAGUCAGCCUUGGCGUGGGGGUCCAAAGAAACUGUGCCGGAGUCCGGGACUCCAUGGAGCAGGCAAAGAAGUCUGGAAAUAAAAGACCUUCCCUGCGGAAUGAUGCACAUGGCGAAGUUCAGAGAUCCAAGAAGGGACUGAAG